GCAGGUUAAAUUGCUCCGAAGGCAAAGGUCACACGUUCGAAUCGUGUCGGGUGCGCCA
rnacentral:tRNA from 1 species